rnacentral:lncRNA from 14 species
CCGAGCGGGACCCCGCGCAGCGGCGCGAUGACCGCGGGCAGCGGAGCCGCGGCCGGCACCGCCACCUCCGCCCUCUGCCUGCUCCUGUCGCUCACCUCCGUGGCCGUGUGCCUGCUGCUGGGGGCCAAGACGGCGGAGCUGCAGGGCCGGCUGGCAGCCCUGGAGGAGCGCGGCCCCGGGCUGGACGCGCUGCAGCCCCGCGUGGAGCAGCUCUUCCGAGAGAAAAUGGGUGAAGGACUGGCAAAGCUGCGGACGGCGAGAGAGGCUCCAUCAGACUGCAUGUGCCCCCCAGGUAGGUGCAAACACACCAGCACAGCCAGCACCAGGCUGCCCAAGAGCUCCUGCUCACUGGAUCAAUGCACUGAGCUCCUCCUCUCCCAUUUUAUAUAACCCUUCCUAUCAAGGAAAAUGCAUCAAGAAGUGUUUCGUUCCACG